UCAAGAAAAGCGCCGCCACAUUGUUCCUAUCGCUGCUGAGAUGCUGAAAGCAUUGGGUGCACGUGCAGUGCUAUGCUCGAACUCUUCUUCUUCCACUAGUGUUGUAAGGAAGAUGAGUUCUGCGCCGGCAUCUCGCAAGUUCGUUUCCGUGGAAGGCUCAGACAUACAUUCCAGAAGUAAACCUGAUGGCUUCAGAUUCAGUCUUGUUUCGUAUAACAUAUUGGCGCAGGUUUAUGUGAAGAGCUCGUCGUUCCCGCAUUCUCCAUCUUCGUCUCUCAAAUGGAAACCUCGUUCAAACACAAUUUUGGAAGUUCUCAAGGACUUGGGAGCUGACUUUUUCUGCCUGCAGGAAGUUGAUGAAUUUGAAAGCUUUUACAAAGGAAACAUGCAGAAUUUAGGAUAUUCUUCGAUUUAUAUGAAGAGAAGUGGUCAAAAGCGUGAUGGGUGUGGCUUAUUUUACAAGCAUGACUGUGCAGAGUUGCUCUUAGAGGAGAAAAUUGAAUACAAUGAUCUUGUAAAGUCCAUUCCAGAUGGGAACUCUUCAAACGAUGAUGAUCACACCAAUAUUCAGACUGUCCAUGCUGAUAAACAAAAGGACGUGGAGCCCAAAAAUGGUUCUAAAUCGAAUACAGAAGAUCGUGGAGAUCCCAAUGACCCCCGUGUGAGACUUAAGCGUGAUUGUGUUGGAAUAAUGGCUGCAUUCAAAUUCAAAGAUCCCUCUCGUCAUAUUGUUAUUGUGGCCAACACACAUCUUUAUUGGGAUCCUGAAUGGGCGGAUGUCAAGCUUGCACAAGCUAAAUAUCUUCUAUUCCGCCUGGCAAAAUUUAAAACACUGGUCUCAGAUAGAUAUGAAUGCAUACCUGAAGUCAUUGUGGCUGGUGACUUCAAUUCUCAGCCAGGAGACACGGUCUACCAGUACCUUGUAUCCGGAAAUCCUUCAUCAAACCUGAUGCUGAACUGUUUAGACGAGUCGCCUCCUAUUCCCUUAUGUAGUGUCUAUGCUUCUACAAGAGGAGAACCACCAUUUACAAACUACACACCUGGCUUCACUGGAACACUCGACUAUAUUUUAUUUUCCCCUUCUGAUCACAUUAAACCAAUUAGUUUUCUUGAGCUUCCAGACUCUGAUGCAGCCGAUAUUGUUGGUGGACUGCCAAACUUCAGUUAUCCCAGUGAUCAUCUACCAAUUGGUGCUGAGUUUGAAAUCAUCAAGGAGUAAAUAUUCUUCUAUGCCAGGGUGGAUGAGUGAAGGAAUGCUUGGAGGAGAAAAGUUAGGAGAUAUAUUUUUGAAAGGAAUUUUGAAAUUUCAGAUGUUCCAUAGCUAAUUUGCUUUGUUGUAUAUAAUCGUUGGACGGCUCUCAUCUGUCUAUUCGCGUGAUGGUUAGCACAGUGUACUGUUAUCACCAAUGGCAUAGAUUGCAGCAGGGCCCUUACAAAUUGACACCAACAGUUAUAAUUGGCUCGUUUCGUUUGGGACCACAAACAUUGCAAGUUGCAAGUUGGGGAGAGGGCGUUGUAGGUUUUUUGUUCUCAGUUUUCAUGUUUUUAAGGUUGGUUAAAUUUAACCACUCAUGUUGCUUCGUGUCAAUUAAGGUAAACUACACAAUCUGAAGUGUGAGUAGUUAUUCUUCAGAUAGCUUCAUUCUAAAAUGCUUAGAUUUAAUGCCAAAUGAAAUCAUCAUGACUUUCUUUGAGGAAAGUUCAUAUCUUUAAAAAA